rnacentral:rRNA from 1 species
UACGGAGGGAGCUAGCGUUGUUCGGAAUUACUGGGCGUAAAGCGCACGUAGGCGGCUUUGUAAGUUAGAGGUGAAAGCCCGGGGCUCAACUCCGGAAUUGCCUUUGAUACUGCAUCGCUUGAAUCCGGGAGAGGUGAGUGGAAUUCCGAGUGUAGAGGUGAAAUUCGUAGAUAUUCGGAAGAACACCAGUGGCGAAGGCGGCUCACUGGACCGGUAUUGACGCUGAGGUGCGAAAGCGUGGGGAGCAAACAGG